UACGAAGGGGGCUAGCGUUGUUCGGAUUUACUGGGCGUAAAGCGCGCGUAGGCGGUUCUUUAAGUUGAUUGUGAAAUCUUCACGGCUUAACCGGAAAACUGCGGUCAAGACUGGAGAACUGGAGAUUGGGAGAGGGAAGUGGAAUUCCUGGUGUAGCGGUGAAAUGCGUAGAUAUCAGGAGGAACACCCAUGGCGAAGGCAGCUUCCUGGCCCAAUUCUGACGCUGAGGUGCGAAAGCGUGGGUAGCGAACGGG
rnacentral:rRNA from 1 species